GUCGAACGGCAGCAGACCGUAACAAUCCCUUCGGGGUGCGUUUGGUGCUGGCGAGUGGCGGACGGGUGAGUAACACGUAGGAAUCUGCCCAACAGUGGGGGACAACCCGAGGAAACUCGGGCUAAUACCGCAUACGCCCUACGGGGGAAAGCGGGGGACUUUCGGGCCUCGCGCUGAUGGAUGAGCCUGCGUCGGAUUAGCUUGUUGGUGAGGUAACGGCUCACCAAGGCGACGAUCCGUAGCUGGUCUGAGAGGAUGAUCAGCCACACUGGGACUGAGACACGGCCCAGACUCCUACGGGAGGCAGCAGUGGGGAAUAUUGCACAAUGGGGGAAACCCCGAUGCAGCCAUGCCGCGUGUGUGAAGAAGGCCUUCGGGUUGUAAAGCACUUUCAGUUGUGAGGAAAAGUUAGUAGUUAAUACCUGCUAGCCGUGACGUUAACAACAGAAGAAGCACCGGCUAACUCCGUGCCAGCAGCCGCGGUAAUACGGAGGGUGCGAGCGUUAAUCGGAAUUACUGGGCGUAAAGCGCACGCAGGCGGUUUGUUAAGCUAGAUGUGAAAGCCCCGGGCUCAACCUGGGAUGGUCAUUUAGAACUGGCAGACUAGAGUCUUGGAGAGGGGAGUGGAAUUCCAGGUGUAGCGGUGAAAUGUGUAGAUAUCUGGAGGAACAUCAGUGGCGAAGGCGACUCCCUGGCCAAAGACUGACGCUCAUGUGC
rnacentral:rRNA from 1 species